GACAGAGGGUGCAAACGUUGUUCGGAAUUACUGGGCGUAAAGCGCGUGUAGGCUGCUCGGAAAGUCGGAUGUGAGAGCCCUGGGCUUAACCUAGGAAGUGCAUUCGAAACUUCCGAGCUGGAGUUCUGGAGAGGAAGGCGGAAUUCUCGGUGUAGAGGUGAAAUUCGUAGAUAUCGAGAGGAACACCGGUGGCGAAGGCGGCCUUCUGGACAGUGACUGACGCUGAGACGCGAAAGCGUGGGGAGCAAACAGG
rnacentral:rRNA from 1 species